rnacentral:rRNA from 1 species
GAUGAACGCUGGCGGCGUGCCUAAUACAUGCAAGUCGAGCGAACGGAUGAGGAGCUUGCUUCUCUGACGUUAGCGGCGGACGGGUGAGUAACACGUGGAUAACCUACCUAUAAGACUGGGAUAACUUCGGGAAACCGGAGCUAAUACCGGAUAAUAUAUUGAACCGCAUGGUUCAAUAGUGAAAGACGGUCUUGCUGUCACUUAUAGAUGGAUCCGCGCCGCAUUAGCUAGUUGGUAAGGUAACGGCUUACCAAGGCAACGAUGCGUAGCCGACCUGAGAGGGUGAUCGGCCACACUGGAACUGAGACACGGUCCAGACUCCUACGGGAGGCAGCAGUAGGGAAUCUUCCGCAAUGGGCGAAAGCCUGACGGAGCAACGCCGCGUGAGUGAUGAAGGUCUUCGGAUCGUAAAACUCUGUUAUUAGGGAAGAACAAAUGUGUAAGUAACUAUGCACGUCUUGACGGUACCUAAUCAGAAAGCCACGGCUAACUACGUG